GACGAACGCUGGCGGCGUGCUUAACACAUGCAAGUCGAACGGAAAGGCCCUGCUUUUGGGGGGUGCUCGAGUGGCGAACGGGUGAGUAACACGUGAGUAACCUGCCCGUGACUUAGGGAUAACUUCAGGAAACUAGGGCUAAUACCGGAUAGGAGCCCCUGCUGCAUGGUGGGGGGUGGAAAGUUUCGGCGGUAGGGGAUGAACGCGCGGCGGAUCAGCUGGUUGGUGGGGAAGUGGCGUACCAAGGCUUUGACGGGUAGCCGGCCUGGGAGGGUGACCGGCGACCUUGGGCCUGCGAGACGCCCCAGACUCGUACGGGACGCAGCGGUCGGGAAUAUUGCACAAUGGGCCGGAGCCUGAUGCAGCAGCGCCGCGUGCGUGAUGACGUCUUUCUAGUUGUGAACCGCUUUCUCGUGUGACGAAGCGUGAGUGACGGUACUGGGUCAAGAAGCACCGGCUAACUACGUG
rnacentral:rRNA from 1 species